GAUGAACGCUGGCGGCGCGCCUAACACAUGCAAGUCGAACGAUUAAAGCACCUUCGGGUGUGUAUAAAGUGGCGAACGGCUGAGUAACACGUGGGCUACCUGCCCCUUUCAUUGGGAUAGCCACGGGAAACCGUGGAUAAUACCGAAUACUUCGAGACUUCCGCAUGGAAGACUCGAGAAAGCUCCGGCGGAGAGGGAUGGGCCCGCGGCCUGUUAGCUUGUUGGUGGGGUAACGGCCUACCAAGGCAAUGAUGGGUAGCUGGGUUGAGAGACCGACCAGCCAGAUUGGGACUGAGACACGGCCCAGACUCCUACGGGAGGCAGCAGUGGGGAAUCUUGCACAAUGGGCGAAAGCCUGAUGCAGCGACGCCGCGUGCGGGAUGAAGGCCUUCGGGUUGUAAACCGCUUUCAGCAGGGACGAGGCGAAAGUGACGGUACCUGCAGAAGAAGCCCCGGCUAACUACGUG
rnacentral:rRNA from 1 species